rnacentral:rRNA from 1 species
UAGGGAAUCUUCGGCAAUGGGGGGAACCCUGACCGAGCAACGCCGCGUGAGUGAAGAAGGUUUUCGGAUCGUAAAGCUCUGUUGUUAAGGAAGAACGAGUGUGAGAAUGGAAAGUUCAUACUGUGACGGUACUUAACCAGAAAGGGACGGCUAACUACGUGCCAGCAGCCGCGGUAAUACGUAGGUCCCGAGCGUUGUCCGGAUUUAUUGGGCGUAAAGCGAGCGCAGGCGGUCAAUUAAGUCUGAUGUGAAAGCCCCCGGCUCAACCGGGGAGGGUCAUUGGAAACUGUUUAACUUGAGUGCAGAAGGGGAGAGUGGAAUUCCAUGUGUAGCGGUGAAAUGCGUAGAUAUAUGGAGGAACACCGGUGGCGAAAGCGGCUCUCUGGUCUGUAACUGACGCGGAGGCUCGAAAGCGUGGGGAGCGAACAGG